GACAGAGGGUGCGACCGUUGUUCGGAAUUACUGGGCGUAAAGCGCGUGUAGGCGGCAAUGCAAGUCGGGCGUGAAAUCCCACGGCGCAACCGUGGAAGUGCACUCGAAACUGCAUAGCUAGAGUCCUGGAGAGGAAGGUGGAAUGCUUGGUGUAGAGGUGAAAUUCGUAGAUAUCAAGCGGAACACCGGUGGCGAAGGCGGCCUUCUGGACAGUGACUGACGCUGAGACGCGAAAGCGUGGGGAGCAAACAGG
rnacentral:rRNA from 1 species